rnacentral:rRNA from 1 species
UACGGAGGGAGCUAGCGUUGUUCAGAAUUACUGGGCGUAAAGCGCACGUAGGCGGCUUUUUAAGUCAGGGGUGAAAUCCCGGGGCUCAACCCCGGAACUGCCCUUGAAACUGGAGAGCUAGAAUCUUGGAGAGGCGAGUGGAAUUCCGAGUGUAGAGGUGAAAUUCGUAGAUAUUCGGAAGAACACCAGUGGCGAAGGCGACUCGCUGGACAAGUAUUGACGCUGAGGUGCGAAAGCGUGGGGAGCAAACAGG